rnacentral:rRNA from 1 species
UGCGGCGGCCGUACUUUCGGCGGGCGGAGCGCCACGACCGGUUCGUCGGCGGCGAGAAACUCCCGGGCAAGGUGACCUUCGUCUCGGCGCAGGAGCAUACAGGCCCGGUGAGCGUCGGCCCGUCGGUGGACCGAGGAAGACCGUCGCGGAGCGGCGUCGACCGUUCGUCGUGUGUUGGCGUUCGACUCGGGGGGACUGGUUCCAGUGCCCUCGGACCGCGCCGGCGCAGCGGCGGGCGCGCACGGCGUCGCGCCUGGGGUCGGUGGCGAAACGGCCGGCAACCUGUCCGACCCGUCUUGAAACACGGACCAAGGAGUCUAACAUGUGCGCGAGUCGUUGGGCGCUACGAAACCCGAAGGCGCAAUGAAAGUGAAGGCCCGGUCUCCGGCCGGCCUGGGUGGGAUCCCGGCGGUCUCGGCCGUCGGGCGCACCACCGGCCCGUCUCGUUCGUUACGUCGAGGAGGCGGAGCAAGAGCGUACACGUUGGGACCCGAAAGAUGGUGAACUAUGCCCGAGUAGGACGAAGCCAGAGGAAACUCUGGUGGAGGUCCGCAGCGAUUCUGACGUGCAAAUCGAUCGUCAAACUUGGGUAUAGGGGCGAAAGACUAAUCGAACCAUAUAGUAGCUGGUUNCUGUCGAAGUUUCCCUCAGGAUAGCUGGCGCUCGUCGUGAGCAGUUUUAUCCGGUAAAGCGAAUGACUGGAGGCCUUGGG